GUCCUCAUUGCCGUGCGGGUGGCGGUGACCGCCCGCUGAGCGGUCAGCGCAGCGCGGGGAAGACCGUGCCGGCGAUCACCGCGCCGACCAGGGCCCC
rnacentral:tRNA from 1 species